rnacentral:lncRNA from 1 species
GCGCAUGCUCUAUGGGGUAGAGACGCUAGGCCGGCACUGCCUAGGUGGGCCGGGCGGUGCGAGGGUCGCCUUUCAGCCUUUACCUCUACCCACUGAAAUGGAGUAGGUCGGUGAGCGCCGAUCUGCUGGAGAAUCUCAUUAUCCCAUCGGCGCUCUGCCUGCUCCUGGCCUCCAAGCCUCUGAAGCCCCUCGGGUUUCAGCUGCCGGCUACCCUCGAGCCCGUGGUGCCCACGAGAGAGGCGACUUUACGUCAGCGGCCCUGGGCUGAGAUUUGAGAACGCGACCAAGUGGAGAAUGUUGGAGCCAGAUUUUAAAAUCCUUGUCUUCCUUCUGCGUGCUACUUGAUCUAAAUGAGAUACGGCAAAGUCACAGAACCUGUUUUUAUGUUUUUGCCUGAUUCAUACGGGCUUCUCCGGUGAAGAUGGGCCUGAAGUAACGCUUGGGUUGCUUCUGACGUUAUAACUCAUCCUGUAGCUGCAGCAACCGUGGUCCUUGCAACCUCAUAAAAAUGUUGCCAGCAUUGUUUCGAUAGUGCUGCUUAAUUCUUGGAAGGCCUCUUUGCUUUCUUCCCUGAGGUUCUUCGGACUUCACACAUUCCAGCAGUAGCUCUCUCAGCUCCUGUCCUGCACAGCUUUGAAGUGCUGGCUGGAGUGCAGUGGUGCCAUCUCGGCUCACUGCAGCCUCAACCUCCUGGGCUCAAGCGAUCCUCCUGCCACACCCUCCUGAGUAGCUGGGAUUACAGGUGAUGUCAUUGAACUCUUAAGUGCAAGAUGAAACAAGUCUUUCUGGGGUUCUAAGUAGGACACAGCCCUGGUGAUGGCUUUCUGAGGAUGACACGAUGGAGGCUUCUCCAAUAGCUCUAAAACUGCGGUGUGGAAAACAUUCGGCAGCCUCAAAGAGCGGUCUUGUUGACCCCAACUAUAUCAUUUUUCAUCAAAAUCAUUCUUGUAAAGAAUGACCAGGCAACACUCUUUGAAAAUUGGAGGCCAUUUGCAGCUGCUCUCUGUUGAGGAAAGUGAAUAAUAGGGUGCCCUCAAGGAAUUGCAAAGGUAUCACUCAACAGAAACUUUCGUGUCUGAAGAAAACUAGAUCAUUUUAUCAUGGUAGGCAUGCUGAUAUGUUUGCUUUAAUAAAAUGCCAUAUUUCUGCCUUUAAUCUCUUGUCAACCCGCUAUUAAAAAGCCCCAAAGUGCAUGUGUGCAGCGCAUGUAAACACUUGUGGUUUUGAGGUUACCACAGAACAUACUAAUAAAGCAUGUAAUUUGUGUUUUGUGC